rnacentral:ncRNA from 1 species
AGAAUACGGGAGAGACCAAAAAUUGGCACCGAAGGAGUAAAUUGUGGAUGCUUGCCCUUCCACAAUGAAACUCUCAGGUAAAAGAACCGUAUUU